rnacentral:rRNA from 1 species
CCAAUAGCGUAUAUUAAAGUUGUUGCAGUUAAAAAGCUCGUAGUUGAAUUUCGGGGUCAGUAGGUCGGUCGUGCCACUGGUAUGAACUGGUUUUACUGAUUCCUCCCUCUUGAAGAACUGUAAUGCCAUUAAUUUGGUGUUGCAGGGAAUCAGGACUGUUACUUUGAAAAAAUUAGAGUGUUUAAAGCAGGCUUUAGCUUGAAUACAUUA